CUAACACAUGCAGUCGGACGGUAGCACAGAGAGCUUGCUCUCGGGUGACGAGUGGCGGACGGGUGAGUAAUGUCUGGGAAACUGCCCGAUGGAGGGGGAUAACUACUGGAAACGGUAGCUAAUACCGCAUAACGUCGCAAGACCAAAGUGGGGGACCUUCGGGCCUCACACCAUCGGAUGUGCCCAGAUGGGAUUAGCUAGUAGGUGGGGUAAUGGCUCACCUAGGCGACGAUCCCUAGCUGGUCUGAGAGGAUGACCAGCCACACUGGAACUGAGACACGGUCCAGACUCCUACGGGAGGCAGCAGUGGGGAAUAUUGCACAAUGGGCGCAAGCCUGAUGCAGCCAUGCCGCGUGUAUGAAGAAGGCCUUCGGGUUGUAAAGUACUUUCAGCGGGGAGGAAGGCGGUGAGGUUAAUAACCUCACCGAUUGACGUUACCCGCAGAAGAAGCACCGGCUAACUCCGUGCCAGCAGCCGCGGUAAUACGGAGGGUGCAAGCGUUAAUCGGAAUUACUGGGCGUAAAGCGCACGCAGGCGGUCUGUCAAGUCGGAUGUGAAAUCCCCGGGCUUAACCUGGGAACUGCAUUCGAAACUGGCAGGCUAGAGUCUUGUAGAGGGGGGUAGAAUUCCAGGUGUAGCGGUGAAAUGCGUAGAGAUCUGGAGGAAUACCGGUGGCGAAGGCGGCCCCCUGGACAAAGACUGACGCUCAGGUGCGAAAGCGU
rnacentral:rRNA from 1 species